UCAUCACUGGGAUCAUCACAAAGACCACAGGGAUAACAGGAAUAGCAGGGAUCAGAGACAUAACAAGGAAAACAGGGAUCAAUGGGAUCAUCACUGGGAUCUCAGGGAUCAUCAUUGGGAUCUCAGGGAUCAUCACCGGGAUCUCAGGGAUCACCAGGAUCAGCAGAAUCAUCACUGGGAUUGCAGGGAUCCCCAGGAUCUCAGGGAUCAUCACUGGGAUCAUCACAGGAAUCUCAGGGAUCAUCACUGGGAUCACAGGGAUCACCACCAGGAUCACAGGGAUCACCAGGAUCAGCAGAGUCAUCACUGGGAUCACUGGGAUUGCAGGGAUCCCCAGGAUCUCAGGGAUCAUCACUGGGAUCAUCACAAAGACCACAGGGAUCACAGGGAUAACAGGAACAGCAGGGAUCAGAGGCAUAACAAGGAAAACAGGGAUCAAUGGGAUCAUCACUGGGAUCUCAGGGAUCAUCACUGGGAUCUCAGGGAUCAUCACCGGGAUCAGCACAGAGAUCAUCACUGGGAUCUCAGGGAUCAGUACCGGGAUCUCAGGGAUCAUCACAGGGAUCAUCACAGGAAUCUCAGAGAUCAUCACUGGGAUCACAGGGAUCAUCACCGGGAUCACAGGGAUCACCAGGAUCAGCAGAAUCAUCACUGGGAUCACUGGGAUUGCAGGGAUCCCCAGGAUCUCCGGGAUCAUCACUGGGAUCAGCACAAAGACCACAGGGAUCAUCAGGAUAACUGGGAUAGGACUGCCAGGAUCACAGGGAAAACAGGAAUAGCAGGGAUCAGAGGCAUAACAAGGAAUAGCAGGGAUCAAUGGGAUCAUCACAGGGAUCUCAGGGAUCAUCACUGGGAUCUCAGGGAUCAUCACUGGGAUCAGCACAGGGAUCAUCACUGGGAUCACAGGGAUCAGCACAGGGAUCAGCACAGGGAUCAUCACCGGGAUCACAGGGAUCAUCGCCGGGAUCACUGGGAUUACAGGGAUCCCCAGGAUCUCAGGGAUCAUCACCGGGAUCUCGGGGAUCAUCACUGGGAUCAUCACAAAGACCACAGGGAUAA
rnacentral:lncRNA from 1 species